rnacentral:piRNA from 1 species
UGUACUUCAAUUUCAUUAGUAACACUUAGGGC